rnacentral:other from 1 species
UUUGGCCUGCUGUGUUUGUGGAAAGGGCCCAAUUAAACCCACAUCAUUAAUAAGGGACGCUUGGCUCCUGUUGUGGAUUGCAGGCCUCCCGGGUACGGCCCGCCGUAUCCGGACGUUGGAAGCAGAGAAGCAAUGGGGAGGCGACCCACCUGCAGGAGCUGUGCAGGUUAUAAUCGGGCUCCCACGGCAACGGCGGGUUGGGC